rnacentral:rRNA from 1 species
AGUGAACGCUGGCGGCAGGCCUAACACAUGCAAGUCGAGCGGAUGAAGGGAGCUUGCUCCUGGAUUCAGCUGCGGACGGGUGAGUAAUGCCGAGGAAUCUGCCUGGUAGCGGGGGAUAACGUCCGGAAACGGGCGCUAAUACCGCAUACGCCCUGAGGACGAAAGUGGGGGAGCUGCGGACCUCACGCUAUUAGGUGAGCCUAUGUCGGAUUAGCUAGUUGGCGGGGUAAAGGCCUACCAAGGCGACGAUCCGUAGCUGGUCUGAGAGGAUGAUCAGCCACACUGGAACUGAGACACGGUCCAGACUCCUACGGGAGGCAGCAGUGGGGAAUAUUGGACAAUGGGCGCAAGCCUGAUCCAGCCAUGCCGCGUGUGUGAAGAAGGUCUUCGGAUUGUAAAGCCCUUUAAGUUGGAAGGAAGAGCAGUAGGUUAAUACCUUGCUGUUUUGACGUUACCCAAAGAAUAAGCACCGGCUAACUUCGUG